UACGUAGGGGGCAAGCGUUACCCGGAUUCACUGGGCGUAAAGCGCGUGUAGGCGGCUGGCCAAGCGUGGUGUGAAAUCUCCGGGCUCAACCCUGGGAUGCCGGUGGAUACUGUCGGGCUCGAGUCCGGAAGAGGAGUGUGGAAUUCCUGGUGUAGCGGUGAAAUGCGCAGAUAUCAGGAGGAACACCAAUGGCGAAGGCAGGUCUCUGGGCCGAUACUGACGCUGAGGAGCGAAAGCGUGGGGAGCGAACAGG
rnacentral:rRNA from 1 species